rnacentral:lncRNA from 12 species
CGAGUUGUUUUACUUUGGGCUGCCAAAGAACAACCCUUUGUGGAACCCUCUGUCUCUUACCCUUACAAUAAACGCUACAGGAACUUUUACCUAAUACCGGUUGAAUGAGUUUUGUCCCCAUUCGUCUAUUUGAUACAAAGACUCCGCGCGUACCCACGGUUAUUCACUGAAGAACUGCAGGAUUACGAAUAUAUGAAUACGAAUAUAUGAAAAAUGUAACAGCUGGAAUGCUGAUGGAUCAGAGCCCCCAGCCCAGCCCAGCGCUGCAGGGAUGUCCCUGCUGCUGCCGAAGCCCUGCAGUCGCCCAGGGCUGCUCCUGGGUCUGAAGGAGCUGCCAGCGCCUCCAGCCACGCCGUGACGUGUGUCGAUAAUUAUGAUAAUUACCACAAUUAUGAUCUUAUGCCAUCGAUCUGCUCUCGGGGUGUUUUUCCAAUCAGGCUCGGAGAUCUCUUUGUUCUGCUGUGUAAAACCCAGCUUUGAGGUCACUCGCUUCCACACCCUUGGCUGUUUAUGGACACCGAGCCCAUUUCCCACCGAGGAAGACAAGGAACAGAGCAGGAACUGGGAGAGUGCACCGGAAUGUCUCAGAAAAGCCCAGAAGCAUCGUGGAGAGAAGAGAAGAGAAGAGAAGAGAAGAGAAGAGAAGAGAAGAGAAGAGAAGAGAAGAGAAGAGAAGAGAAGAGAAGAGAAGAGAAGAGAAGAGAAGAG